rnacentral:rRNA from 1 species
UACGGAGGGUGCAAACGUUGCUCGGAAUCAUUGGGCGUAAAGCGCACGUAGGCGGCCUGAUAAGUCGGGUGUGAAAGCCCUGGGCUCAACCCAGGAAGUGCACUCGAAACUGUCAGGCUUGAAUAUGGAAGAGGGUCGCGGAAUUCCCGGUGUAGAGGUGAAAUUCGUAGAUAUCGGGAGGAACACCAGUGGCGAAGGCGGCGACCUGGGGCCAAUAUUGACGCUGAGGUGCGAAAGCGUGGGGGAGCAAACAGG